GACGAACGCUGGCGGCGUGCCUAAUACAUGCAAGUAGAACGCUGAAGGAGGAUCUUGCUUCUCUGGAUGAGUUGCGAACGGGUGAGUAACGCGUAGGUAACCUGCCUGGUAGCGGGGGAUAACUAUUGGAAACGAUAGCUAAUACCGCAUAAGAGUAGAUGUUGCAUGACAUUUGCUUAAAAGGUGCAAUUGCAUCACUACCAGAUGGACCUGCGUUGUAUUAGCUAGUUGGUGGGGUAACGGCUCACCAAGGCGACGAGACAUAGCCGACCGGAGGGGGGGAUGGGCCGACCUGGAACUGAGACACGGCCCAGACCCCUAAGGGAGGCAGCAGGAGGGAGUGUUCGGCAAUGGACGGAAGUCUGACCGAGCAAGGCCGCGUGAGGGAAGAAGGUUUUCGGAUCGUAAAGCUCUGUUGUAAGAGAAGAACGAGUGUGAGAGUGGAAAGUUCACACUGUGACGGUAUCUUACCAGAAAGGGACGGCUAACUACGUG
rnacentral:rRNA from 1 species